rnacentral:lncRNA from 1 species
UGUUGGCGGAACAUACGGAGGCGCCUGUACGAGUACCAAGCUCACCACCAAACAUCUUACUGUAAUGCUGUGUACUGCCCUUCUUAUUCUUUCGAACCAUCAGAAAAAAAAAAUUAAUUGUUAUUAUUAACCAUAUAAAAAAAUAAAUAUAUAGAUUAUUAAUUAACAUUUAAAAAUCAUAAUCAUAUAUUAUCUACAAAUUCCAUAAACGUACCUACACAUUCCUUACACCAACCACCUAAACUAAUUCCCCUAAACUAACCACCUAAGCUAAUUACCCU